rnacentral:lncRNA from 1 species
GGAUGUGAACGGCUGACUAGCCCCACUACAAAUAGCCUCUUUCAGUUUCAUUGAUGCCAGGUGGGAGUAGAUGCUCAGCUACCCGCUGGGCCCGACUGACAGUACCAAAGCAGGAAAAUCAGAGCGUUGCUUGCUUCUGCUGGUGGCAGACAGAAGAUUAGCUCCCUGUUUGACCCUGGAACACCACCAGUUUUGUCCUCUGGAAAUACACAGAAUAAAUACCACCUUUUUCCCCAUGAGACUCCACAGAACAUUCCAUGAAUUCUAAAUUUAUUUAGAAAUUACAAGGCGAUGACGAAAGUUGAGUUUUGUAAUGAGUUUUAAAUAUCAUCACCCAGAAAAGCUUUCCCAUGGCUCUGGAACCACAGGCUGCGGAGAUAUACUCGAUGAAACCGCUUCUUUCAUGGGUGUGAGGUUGGACAGAUCACUUCGUUUUUCUGAGCUUCAGUUUCUUCAUGAGUAAAAUGAAUGAGUGGGCUGGGUUGGACUUCUGGCGUGCGGUCAAGGAUACACACACAUUCAGACCUCACAAAUCAGGGUGUUUGAGGGCAGGACCCAGGCUUUAUGUAUUUUAAGAAGGAUCUACAGGCGAUUCUGACAUACACUUCUGGUUACUGGCUUAAGUUCUUUUAAUUCCUAACAUUUUAUAUUAAUACUCC